rnacentral:rRNA from 1 species
AGUGAACGCUGGCGGUAGGCCUAACACAUGCAAGUCGAACGGCAGCACAGUAAGAGCUUGCUCUUACGGUUGGCGAGUGGCGUACGGUUGAGGAAUACAUCGGAAUCUACUUUUUCGUGGGGGUUAACGUAGGGAAACUUACGCUAAUACCGCAUACUACCUACGGUUGAAAUCAGUGGUUCUUCGGACCUUGCCCGUUUGAUUGAUCCGAUUUCGGAUUAGCUAGUUGGCGGGGUAAAGGCCCACCAAGGCGACGAUCCGUAGCUGGUCUGAGAGGAUGAUCAGCCACACUGGAACUGAGACACGGUCCAGACUCCUACGGGAGGCAGCAGUGGGGAAUAUUGGACAAUGGGCGAAAGCCUGAUCCAGCAAUACCGCGUGGGUGAAGAAGGACUUCGGGUUGUAAAGCCCUUUUGUUGGGAAAGAAAAGAAGCAGGUUAAUACCCCGAUGUUCUGACGGUACCCAAAGAGUAAGCACCGGCUAACUUCGUG